UACGGGGGGGGCAAGCGUUGGUCGGAAUUACUGGGCGUAAAGGGCUCGUAGGCGGCCAACUAAGUCGGAUGUGAAAUCCCUCAGCUUAACUGGGGAACUGCGUCCGAUACUGGAUGGCUUGAGUUUGGGAGAGGGAUGCGGAAUUCCAGGUGUAGCGGUGAAAUGCGUAGAUAUCUGGAGGAACACCGGUGGCGAAGGCAGCAUCCUGGACCAAUUCUGACGCUGAGGAGCGAAAGCUAGGGGAGCAAACGGG
rnacentral:rRNA from 1 species